GAGUUUGAUCGUGGCUCAGAUUGAACGCUGGCGGCAUGCCUUACACAUGCAAGUCGAACGGCAGCAUGAUCUAGCUUGCUAGAUUGAUGGCGAGUGGCGAACGGGUGAGUAAUACAUCGGAACGUGCCCUGUAGUGGGGGAUAACUAGUCGAAAGAUUAGCUAAUACCGCAUACGACCUGAGGGUGAAAGUGGGGGACCGCAAGGCCUCAUGCUAUAGGAGCGGCCGAUGUCUGAUUAGCUAGUUGGUGGGGUAAAGGCCCACCAAGGCGACGAUCAGUAGCUGGUCUGAGAGGACGAUCAGCCACACUGGGACUGAGACACGGCCCAGACUCCUACGGGAGGCAGCAGUGGGGAAUUUUGGACAAUGGGCGAAAGCCUGAUCCAGCAAUGCCGCGUGUGUGAAGAAGGCCUCGGUUGUAAG
rnacentral:rRNA from 1 species